rnacentral:rRNA from 1 species
GGAUGCGAUCAUACCAGCACUAAAGCACCGGAUCCCAUCAGAACUUCAAACUUAAGCGUGCUUGGGCGAGAGUAGUACUAGGAUGGUUGACCUCCUGGGAAGUCCUCGUGUUGCAUUCC